rnacentral:pre_miRNA from 1 species
GUGUUUGCGGGCGUGGCAUCAUCAAGAUUCACAAAAUUUGAAUGGAGCUUACUCUUUUAUAUUUUCAUAUAUUACUAUAUAUUCCCUACUAUAAUUUAACACAGAGAGAGAGAAAGAGAGAGAUGUAUAUUUUUUCUCCAGAAAUAGAAUCCAAGUGCUCUAGCUCAAAUUAAAGGAUUGAGAAUCUUGAUGAUGCUGCAUCCGCAGACAA